GAGUCCCGUGGGCCCCGGGGAGGUGGCAGCGGCGUCUCGGUGCAGGCCGCCCUCAGGCGCCCGCCCCCGCCUGGUUUGUCCCUCGGGGUCGAGGGUUCGUGUCUCCGGCGGCAGCUUCCCCUCUCCUCCGUUGUGCGGUCUUGGGACUUCACCAGAAUGAAACCCAAGCAGUUUCUGAAGAAAGCAAGCUUCCUCCGUUCGUGUUUCCUCUUCCACCCGCCUCCACCGCUCAUCGGCUCUCUGCCCCGGACUGAGCGGGUCCCGGCUCUGCGUGGCACGAUCACACAACCCUUUCCUUAGGAGGCUGCCUGCAAAUAGCAAGUGCUGCAUAUAUGCUAUUUCUGUAUAAAGAUUUUCCUGGUUUUACGUGGAAAAAUUGUAUCACUUUUCAAAGUAGAGUAGCUGUCCCGUUGGAGUGUUUCUGCAGCACCUAGUGCUCUAGGAUCCUGGUAUAUAAUUGCUGUUCCUAGGAGUUCUAAUAAUGGAAAUGUUGCAGAGAACGCUGGGAAGUGCCUGUGACUUUUCUGAUGGCACCACCUAGAGUUAACCGUUGAGAAGAACGGCGUACAGAAGGUGAAGCUCUUGGCUCGGUCUGUCAUUGGCAUCUCUCGAGAUAAAAGCGGUCGCAUUUUUCAUCUUUGGCACUCCUGCAGCUGUAGGUAUAGUACUGUGCAUCUACGUUGUGUCCAGAACACAUAUCCUGAGCUGGGAAUUAGAGGAACCCUUCGUUCCUGCAAGUACCGUUAUCCCAAAAAUAUUUGGUGUCAACAUCAUCCAAAGAUGAGGAAGAGUUGAAAGAUUUGAGUGAUGGGCGGACAAGUCACCCAAAUAAGACCCAAUGUUAUAUCAACUCCAAUGGAGUCUGCAUUACCUGGGGCUUCCAGAUAAAAUAAUAACCUACAUGAGGAGGUCUCAAAAAACAGGAGAGAGGAGGUUUUGAAGAAGCUUUCCACUUCCGCCUUUGUUUACUCAUCUUUCUUUUUUGGAGCUGUGCAUGUAAAUAAUCUUAUUUGCCAGCAUGCAUGUGGAAAACAACUUCAGUAGUUUCAGAGAAAUUAACAUUUUUAAUUAUCACACAUCAAAAUUAUUAUUUUGGCUGGCUAUUGCACUCGAUUCAAUCAUUACAUUUGCAUGAACGAACUUUGUAAUCUUUGAAAAGAAUCUGCAAAGGGUAAAACAAAAAAUUUCCACGCAACAAGAGAGACGUUUAGGCGAGAUGGGCGCAGAGGAGCAGCGCACAAGGCACUGCUGGGGCUGUGCCUCGCUUGUACAGAUCAAGAGACUUUGCUGCUUACCAAGGACGCACCAAGCCAUUACUCAAGCCCCGUGGCUAUAGAUCCACAGAACAGACAUCCGAGGGUGCCAGCGCCGCUGAAGGGAACGGUGCCGUUCCUCCCCUUGCUCCCAGCCGCUCGUUCCUACUGCUGUAUCAUCCCUCCCAACAAGCCAACACAAGCAUCCAGCGUGGCCGCAUUCGCCUGCGGUGUCACGAAGCAAGCCGGGAUGUGGUGUGUUAGCUCACAAAUACAGUUGUUUAAUAGCA